UAUAUAUAUAUAUAUGAAAGUUUUGUGUGAAAAUGGAGCAUGGAACUUCAUCAAUUUGGGGACAAAAGAGGCUAGGUUCUUUUCGGAUUUAUGUAGAUUGAUGGAGAUUUGGCGGAUUUGGUUCAUGGAUUUGGAAUGAGGAGAGUGAGAGGAGGAGAUGGUGAGAUUUUGGUGAGAAAUGGACGACGACCAUCGCAGUUGGAGAUUUCCGACCAGUGGAGCCACCGUGGAGAGGGGCAGCGACAACAGAUGGGAAAUGGAGAAAGAAGAAGGGCUCUAGGGUUUUGGGUUAUGGGAGAAAUGGCCCAUUUUCCAAUUUUAAAGGGCUUAUAAACCUCUUGGGAGAGCAAAUGAGGGUCAUUGGAUCAAAGAUCAUGGAUGGAUGAUAUUGAUAUCUGAGUCACUGGCUGAAACGAUGUAGUUUCAAGAUAAAACUAUGUCAUUUUAAGUUCUUUCUUGGCCAACGCCCUAAUGGACCGGAUAUGGCCAAAUUAGGCUCAAAUUUUGGGCCAAUUUUAGCUCAAUUCUAAUUAAAAUAUACUAGUCCAAUCCAUCCCUCUAAUGAA
rnacentral:lncRNA from 1 species